rnacentral:rRNA from 1 species
ACGUAGGUGGCAAGCGUUGUCCGGAAUUACUGGGUGUAAAGGGAGCGCAGGCGGGUCGGCAAGUUGGAAGUGAAACUCAUGGGCUCAACCCAUGACCUGCUUUCAAAACUGCCGGUCUUGAGUGGUGUAGAGGUAGGCGGAAUUCCCGGUGUAGCGGUGGAAUGCGUAGAUAUCGGGAGGAACACCAGUGGCGAAGGCGGCCUACUGGGCACUAACUGACGCUGAGGCUCGAAAGCAUGGGUAGCAAACAG